GGGGAGCUGUAAGUAAGCUUUGAUCCAGAGAUUUCCGAAUGGGGAAACCCAGCAUGAGUUAUGUCAUGUUAUCGAUAUGUGAAUACAUAGCAUAUCAGAAGGCACACCCGGAGAACUGAAACAUCUUAGUACCCGGAGGAAGAGAAAGAAAAUUCGAUUCCCUUAGUAGCGGCGAGCGAAACGGGAAGAGCCCAAACCAACAAGCUUGCUUGUUGGGGUUGUAGGACACUCUAUACGGAGUUACAAAGGACGACAUUAGACGAAUCAUCUGGAAAGAUGAAUCAAAGAAGGUAAUAAUCCUGUAGUCGAAAAUGUUGUCUCUCUUGAGUGGAUCCUGAGUACGACGGAGCACGUGAAAUUCCGUCGGAAUCUGGGAGGACCAUCUCCUAAGGCUAAAUACUCUCUAGUGACCGAUAGUGAACCAGUACCGUGAGGGAAAGGUGAAAAGCACCCCGGAAGGGGAGUGAAAUAGAACCUGAAACCGUGUGCUUACAAGUAGUCAGAGCCCGUUAAUGGGUGAUGGCGUGCCUUUUGUAGAAUGAACCGGCGAGUUACGAUUUGAUGCAAGGUUAAGCAGUAAAUGUGGAGCCGUAGCGAAAGCGAGUCUGAAUAGGGCGUUUAGUAUUUGGUCGUAGACCCGAAACCAGGUGAUCUACCCUUGGUCAGGUUGAAGUUCAGGUAACACUGAAUGGAGGACCGAACCGACUUACGUUGAAAAGUGAGCGGAUGAACUGAGGGUAGCGGAGAAAUUCCAAUCGAACCUGGAGAUAGCUGGUUCUCUCCGAAAUAGCUUUAGGGCUAGCCUCAAGUGAUGAUUAUUGGAGGUAGAGCACUGUUUGGACGAGGGGCCCCUCUCGGGUUACCGAAUUCAGACAAACUCCGAAUGCCAAUUAAUUUAACUUGGGAGUCAGAACAUGGGUGAUAAGGUCCGUGUUCGAAAGGGAAACAGCCCAGACCACCAGCUAAGGUCCCAAAAUAUAUGUUAAGUGGAAAAGGAUGUGGCGUUGCCCAGACAACUAGGAUGUUGGCUUAGAAGCAGCCAUCAUUUAAAGAGUGCGUAAUAGCUCACUAGUCGAGUGACACUGCGCCGAAAAUGUACCGGGGCUAAACAUAUUACCGAAGCUGUGGAUUGUCCUUUGGACAAUGGUAGGAGAGCGUUCUAAGGGCGUUGAAGCAUGAUCGUAAGGACAUGUGGAGCGCUUAGAAGUGAGAAUGCCGGUGUGAGUAGCGAAAGACGGGUGAGAAUCCCGUCCACCGAUUGACUAAGGUUUCCAGAGGAAGGCUCGUCCGCUCUGGGUUAGUCGGGUCCUAAGCUGAGGCCGACAGGCGUAGGCGAUGGAUAACAGGUUGAUAUUCCUGUACCACCUAUAAUCGUUUUAAUCGAUGGGGGGACGCAGUAGGAUAGGCGAAGCGUGCGAUUGGAUUGCACGUCUAAGCAGUAAGGCUGAGUAUUAGGCAAAUCCGGUACUCGUUAAGGCUGAGC
rnacentral:rRNA from 1 species